UGGCGCGUAGCUCAGAACAGGUAGAGCGCUUGGCCGUUAACCAAGAUGUCGUGGGUUCGAGCCCCACCGUGCCAG
rnacentral:tRNA from 2 species